ACAACAAAUCGCAUACCGUCUCGUAUAAACUCGGAAAUAAGGUCCGAACGUCUCUACCAGGCCACCGUAAAAGGCUUGACUACGAGCAAGGAUUCGUACUAU
rnacentral:ncRNA from 2 species